rnacentral:rRNA from 1 species
UUAGUUGGGGCCAUAACUCUGAGACGUGAUGCCGAGCCGCUUCAGGCGAAGUCAUCAAUCCCAUGCUGCCAAGAAAAGCCCAACAGUGAGUUGGCACGGCACCCGUACCCCAAACCGACACAGGUGGGCGGGUAGAGAAUACCAAGGCGAUCGGGAGAACUAUGGUUAAGGAACUCGGCUAAUUACAUCCGUAACUUCGGGAGAAGGAUGACCCUAUUAGGGUGAAGGGACUUGCUCCCCGAGCUCGAGAGGGUGACACAAACCAGGGGGUAGCGACUGUUUACCAAAAACACAGCAGCGUGCUAAGCCGCAAGGCGCUGUAUACGCUGUGACGCCUGCCCAAUGCUGGAAGGUCACGGGGAACGGUUAGUCGAAAGGCGAAGCUGUGAACCUAAGCCCCAGUGAAUGGCGGCCGUAACUAUAACGGUCCUAAGGUAGCGAAAUUCCUUGUCGGGUAAGUUCCGACCUGCACGAAUGGCGUAACGACUUCCCCACUGUCUCAACCAUAGACCCGGCGAAAUUGAAGUACGAGUAAAGAUGCUCGUUAGCUGCGGAAGGACGGAUAGACCCCAUGGACCUUUACUACAACUUGAUAUUGAGCUUUGUCCUGCAUUGUGUAGGAUAGGUGGGAGACUUGGAAGCUGUGGCGCUAGCCAUGGUGGAGUCAUCGUUGAAAUACCACCCUGUGUAUGACGGGGCUCUAACCUAGGUCCAUUAUCUGGAUCAGGAACAGUGUCAGGCGGGUAGUUUGACUGGGGCGGUCGCCUCCUAAAAUGUAACGGAGGCGCCCAAAGGUUCCCUCAGGCUGGUUGGCAAUCAGCCGUCGAGUGCAAUGGCACAAGGGAGCUUGACUGCGAGACCUACAAGUCAAGCAGGUGCGAAAGCAGGGCAUAGUGACCCGGCCAUCACGUGUGGAAGUGUGGUCGCUCAACGGAUAAAAGGUACCCUGGGGAUAACAGGCUAAUCUUUCCCAAGAGUCCAUAUCGACGGAAAGGUUUGGCACCUCGAUGUCGGCUCAUCGCAUCCUGGGGCUGAAGCAGGUCCCAAGGGUUGGGCUGUUCGCCCAUUAAAGCGGUACGCGAGCUGGGUUCAGAACGUCGUGAGACAGUUCGGUCCCUAUCCUCCGCAGCCGAAGGUGUAUUGAGGAAGGCUGUCCCUAGCACGAGAGGACCGGGACGGACGGAGCUCUGGUGUGUCUGUUGUCCUGCCAAGGGCAUGGCAGAUUAGCCACCUCCGGAAGGGAUAACUGCUGAAAGCAUCUAAGUAGGAAACCCGUUCCAAGAUGAGUACACCCAUGCGGUUAACGCAGUAAGGCCCGUGACAAGACCAUCACGUUGAUAGGCCGGAGGUGUAAGCACGGUAACGUGUGUAGCCGACCGGUACUAAUCGGCCGAGGGCUUGGACU